GACGAACGCUGGCGGCGUGCUUAACACAUGCAAGUCGAGCGGUAAGGCCCCUUCGGGGGUACACGAGCGGCGAACGGGUGAGUAACACGUGGGUGACCUGCCCUCAGCUCUGGGAUAAGCCUGGGAAACUGGGUCUAAUACCGGAUAUGACUCCAUGACGCAUGUCGUGGGGUGGAAAGCCUUGUGCGGCUGGGGAUGGGCCCGCGGCCUAUCAGCUUGUUGGUGGGGUGANGGCCUACCAAGGCGACGACGGGUAGCCGGCCUGAGAGGGCGACCGGCCACACUGGGACUGAGACACGGCCCAGACUCCUACGGGAGGCAGCAGUGGGGAAUCUUGCGCAAUGGGCGAAAGCCUGACGCAGCGACGCCGCGUGAGGGAUGACGGCCUCGG
rnacentral:rRNA from 1 species